CCGGGGACCGGGGGGAGACGGGAUCCCGAUUCCCUCCUGCGGGCACCUGAGGCAGCCGCGGCGGAAGGAUGCGAUGAGCGUUUUGCACACACACACGCGCGCACACACACGCACACAUCGUGUACACAAAAAAGAACCCCACCCAAAAAGCCCCGGGCUCCCAAGCUCGGGCGGGCGGUGAGAACAGAGGAAGCAGAGCGACUUCCUCCCGCCACGGGGGAGAGGGUGGUGAUGGGUGUCGAAGGGGUGCUGCUGCUGCCGCGGAGGGGGGGAAUUGCAAACAACGGGGUUCCGGGGCGAGUGCGCGCGGGGUCGGUCGCCACUGGGCGAGGGUGUCCCCUGGGACCCAGGAGCGCUCCGGAGGCAAGGAGAUGGAUGGGGCCGUGGGUUUGAAGGAAGAUGGUGUGUGCCGGUCCAGGGAUGGCGGACCUGGGGGUCAGACCCCACCGCUCACGGCUGGGGGUGCCUCUGAGCCGGCAGGGCUGGGGGAUGGGGAUUUGAAAGCGUGUCGACCCCUUGGGAGCCCUCCAUUGCACCCUCAGCCUCAUCUGGAUUGCCUAGCUCGGAUUGUCUGGCUCCGGAGGAAAGCGGACGGGUGCUAACGGGCACUUGUCCCUUCUGUUUUGAAGACACUCGUUGCCAAUUUCCUGGGCUAGAGAGCAAACCCUUAAAUAAGCCAUCAUACCGGUUAAUUAGUGUUUGUUUUGUUACUUCGGGUUUUUGUUGUAAAUUUUUUUUUUUUUUUUUUGGUCUCCUUUCCCUCUACCUUAAGCGUCUCAUCUGCUGUGUUUAAAUUUCAGCAUUUCAGUGUGGGCUCUUUUUGUUAAAACAACUUAUCAUUGGAAGGGAACUUCACAGCUUUUCCUUGUAAUUUUUCUGUUGAUCUUGUAGAAUCUGCGAUAAAGCCAACAUUAAAGGGAGGCCAGGGGCUUGAUCCCAACAGUGGAGAAAGUUGACAUUAGUGGGAGUUCUGGAGGAGGAUCAAAGGAAGUGACCGAAAGGCGACACGGAUAAGAAGUGAGCACGUGCUUUUGGAAAAAUGGUGCCCGUAGACUUGCUUGAUGCAGGUUUGCAAUAGAUCUUCCAUGUGUCAAAAAUGCAGCAUCAGCGAAGCACGAUGAAGCGAAGUGCAAGGAAAGGAAUCACGUCUCUGCUCCUAGGAUUUCACUACGGAGCCGUUCCCAUAGCACAUCGCGCUUUCCUCUGGCGAUCUCUCUCCAGAACUUGGAAAACCCUCCAAACUGAACAAAUAUACAGCAUACAUACAGUAUUUCCUGUUCAGGUGUUUUUUGCUUUUUUUUUUUUUUUUUAACACAGUUUCGCCCUUGUUGGCUUGUGCUAACGUCAUUCAGUUUUUGCUCACUGUUUGAAAAAUUCGGAAGGCCUGGGCUAUACAGAGCGUGUAGUCGUGGGUUCAAACUUUCAUUCAGUUAUUAGUGCUUCCGUGACUCUAUUAACGGUGAAGCAGACAGAGAAAGAGACUGUUUUAGUUGCUGCAUUUUCCUGUAAGUUUGACGUUUAUAUGAAGGUCAGUUUUAACCUGGGGAAAGGGAUAAUAACAGAAUUAACCACUGGCAGAGAUUUCCCAGGAGGGACUUGGGGAGCAGUAUUAUAACCUGAGAGUGUCUGUGAUUAAGGGAGAAGUGUUUACAUACACGUUUAAAAUGCAGAGUUUUAACGCUGUUUCUGUUACAUUUGGGGCUAUAGCUAUUUGUGCUAGCAGGAGUGGGGGCGGGGGGGGGGGGUGGUGGAAACAGGCAUUUGUUAAACAUGUUGUAUUCUGGCUGCCCUUAAGAGGAGUCCCUGUGUCAGCCUGGGAAAGGCACCUGGUAGGUGUUUAAAUACUGUUGGCCUACUGCUGGGGAACUGACCCUCAAUUCCUUGUGCGGAGAAGGAUCUGGAAAGAGUUGCUAGAUAUUACGAGGUGUAGCCGCUUGAGGCAGGAUAUUUCCCUGGCCGGCACCAGCUAGAUUUCAUAUAUAAUAACUCUAGUAGAGGAAAACUCUCCAAAAGCUGAGAAUUACUGAAGAGCGUCCGCAGCUGUUGACUCCCCCUACCCACCGCACGCAGCCACCUUGGCUCGGAAUGUGUGUUAGGUUCGCAUUUAGGGAAGGCCUGGAAACGAAUCAGCCUUCCUGCUCUCUCUUCCCAGGGGAAUCUGUGGAACGUACUUAAUAUAGGACCAAACAACUUAACACAGUGGAAUAAAGCCGGUUGCGUUAGUUUUUUUGUUUGUUUUUUAAGUUUUAUUUAUUUUGAGACCAAGAGUGCAAGCGGGAGGGGGGAGGUUGGGGAGAGAGAGAGAGAGAGAGAGAGAGAGGGAGGGAGAGAUAGAUUCCCAAGUAGGCUCCUUACUGUCAGUGCUGGGCUGAGACAAACAUGUGAAACAGAUCCCUGGAUUGAUUCCUUUCCUGUUCUAAUCAUUGUUAAGCCUUCUUUUUUAAAAACUGUUUAUUGCUUUGUGACACAGUAAAUUCAUAUUUGUUGUAGAAAAGUUAGAAAAGCAGACGAGAGUAAUCCUCUCAUUACUCAGAGGAACUGUUAAAAUUCUAGCAUAUGCAUGUCAAAAGUCUUCCGUAUAUACGAAAGCAUGUAUAUACGAAAACAUGAAAAAAUAUCAUACAAACUUUAAAAUAAUUUUUUUUUGCUUAUUA